rnacentral:rRNA from 1 species
UACGUAGGGGGCAAGCGUUGUCCGGAUUUAUUGGGCGUAAAGAGCGUGUAGGCGGCCUGACAGGUCAGCUGUGAAAACUCGAGGCUCAACCUCGAGACGCCGGUGGAAACCAUCAGGCUAGAGUCCGGAAGAGGAGAGUGGAAUUCCUGGUGUAGCGGUGAAAUGCGCAGAUAUCAGGAAGAACACCCGUGGCUAAGGCGGCUCUCUAGUACGGUACUGACGCUGAGACGCGAAAGCGUGGGGAGCGAACAGG